rnacentral:lncRNA from 1 species
GAGCAAGCUGAGCCUGGAAGUAUGGCACAAAUGCAAGUGUUAUUUUAAAAUAAAAAAUGUUGCAAAUUGGGCUUGUAGGCAUGGCCCAUAUAAUAGUGUUAUUAUCUUAUCAUUGGACUAGGCCUAGUGGCUUGGAUCAAAGAUGGUUUAUUAGGUUGAGUUUGUAAGUAUUGGGCUUGGAAUGGGCCUUUUACAUAGUAAACAAAAACUUGUUAUCUAAGUUAUGAUUGGUUUGCAAAAAAUCGGACGGGUCGGUUUGAACGGUUCAAUGCCAGUUUGAUCAUAAAUCAUAAAAUGGUUCAUUGAGCGGACCGAACUGGAUGGUUCACCGUUUGGACCGGUCGAUCCGGUCCGGUUUUUAAAACUAUGGUUUUUUGUUUUGUAAUUUUCUUUUUCUCUUUCCUUUCCUUCUAUUUAUUAUUUUUAUUGUUCACUUUAUUAUUUAUAAUUUUAAUACUAAAAUAUCAUUAUAAAUAUUAUUUUUAUUAUUUGUAAUAAUAAAUAAUUAUUUAUGAUAAUACAUCAAAUAAUAAUACUAAUAUUAAAUAAUAAUAGUAAUGAUUAAUAAUAUUAAAAAUAUUAAUAUAUAAUAUGUCAUGAU